ACCAACACCACAGAGGAUAGUUUACUUUAAAAAUACGGAUCUUGGACAUCCGAGACUGAGAAUAUAGCCCUCAUCCUCUGA
rnacentral:tRNA from 1 species